AAACAAGACAAAAAAACCUAGGUAAGACAAUAAUUUUUUGCAGUGUGAGGUAGAAGAACCAAGCCCUGAGGGAACGUAGUGAACGAGCAGCUUCGGAAUGACAGCGGCUCACUUUUGGCGUGGCUUGACAACACUUUGAGGCAGGAUAAAAAGCUCCAGGAACAAUUUCUUUAGAGUAUCUUCUCUAAUCACCUUUCCAUUAAUACAACCUGGACUGGUGUAGGGAAUCAAGCAUGUUUUAGAGACCUGUUUCUGAAGACCAUUGUUCAAAGAGCCAUCCGGAAGAACCCUGCAACCCAGGAUGCCACUGAUUGGGCUGACCAGGUUAAUGUUACGUGUUACCUGAAAGGAGCAUCUGACCGUGAAGGCGGAAAAAGGCAGCACACAGCUGAGAGGGACCCACAGAUGACCCCUUAAACCGAGGCUGACUACUGACACCCCAGCAUCGCUGACAACUGGAAACCUUUCUGUAUCCUGCAGUCAGUAACAUCAAGAACCCUAAAGAAUCCUGAAGUGUCACACUACACUCAACCAAUCCACACUUCACUUUGAAAAUUACUAUUCUUUUUUUUCAAAUUCCCUGUGACCCUGCCUUAAGGGCAGCUCCUCGGAUAGAUACGGAAUGGCGAGGUUGUUUGUCCUUUAUACAGGUGCACGAGAUAAAGUACUGAU